rnacentral:rRNA from 1 species
GACGAACCGAGCGAACGUUGUCCGGAAUCACUGGGCUUAAAGGGCGCGUAGGCGGGUACUCAAGUCUGUGGUGAAAUCCUCCGGCUCAACCGGAGAACUGCCAUGGAUACUGGGUGUCUCGAGGGUGGUAGGGGUAUGCGGAACUAUCGGUGGAGCGGUGAAAUGCGUUGAUAUCGAUAGGAACUCCGGUGGCGAAGGCGGCAUACUGGACCACUUCUGACGCUGAGGCGCGAAAGCCAGGGGAGCAAACGGG